rnacentral:lncRNA from 1 species
GGGGGGGGGGGGGGGGGGGGGGGGGGGGGGGGGGGGGGGGGGGGGGGGGGGGGGGGGGGGGGGGGGGGGGGGGGGGGGGGGGGGGGCUGUCCCCAGAGCAGAGGGGCUCCAGCCCUUGCAGCAUCNUGCAGCAUCUCCAUGGCCUCCUCUGGACUCAUUCCCACAGGUCUGUGUCUUUCUUGUGUGGGGAUCCUAGAGUUGGUCACAACACUCCAGAUUGGAAUACAGAAAUCACCAUAUUGUGGUGUCACACCCCAGUUCCACUCCAUGGCAGAUAUUUAAUCCUGGAAGAGCCAUUUCUCUCACAGCUGUUGAUGUGACAUCUGCUGAUCUCCAUGUCUUCCCUGUCUCCAAAGCCCUGUGCCAGGUUCCCCCUGCCAGGCCCUCACCAUCCUUCUGUCUGUGACAGUGGUUCCCUACAGCUGCUGCUGUGCCUCGAUGUGUUGAGCAUGAGGAUGGAUUGGAUUUAUCUCCAAUUCUUGCUCCAGGGCCUCAGACUCUGAGCACAAGGCACAUUUUAACCUCCUGCUCCAGCUGCUGCUCAAGCAGGACCUUGGCAUUUGGAAUGAGGGUUUUUUUGCCUCUGCUGCAGGAGAACUGGGCAGGGUUUAUCAGGACUGUGCCCAGAUUCAGGAAAGGGGGUGGCUGUGCAGCCAAGCUCAGCCCCCCACCCUGAGGAGCUCCCAAAAAGCUCUGGAUUGCCAUCAUCAGGGUGUGAGGGACACAGGGAGGGCCUGGCUUUUCCUUUUUUCUGGUUCUUGCUGUGUUUCUGUCCCUGCAGUUUCCAGGAUGUUCCAGCUGGGAAGUUGUUGCCCACCUGCCCCAGAGCAGCUCAUUCUCCCAUUCUCCCAUUCUCCCAUUCUCCCGUGCAAUCACAGUGGUCCCUUUGUGUUGUCUGCUUGUCAAUGAGCCCCAGCUGUCUCUGCCCACAGGAGAGGGACAGGGUUCCUGGCUGGAUGUUUCCCAACAGAAAUUCCCUGGCUUUUCUUGCUCCCCUUGCUGGUUCUGUGGCAUGAGCUGCUCCUGUCUCUGCAGGCCUUUGGCACACCCUGCACUCACCACUGGAGAUUUGCCUUUGAAAUAAAAUCAAAACUUCUUUUCUGCCCCACUCUCCUGCUCCAGAGGGUGGUUCAAUUCUCCAGCCAAAUGCCUGAACAACUUGUGAGUUUUCAAAGUACGUGAAAUCACCACAAAAUUGCAGAUGGGUGGGGGUGGGAUGGGGCAAAUAGGAAAGGGAGGGUUCCAGGGUGAUUUUGUGUCCUCCCCAGGAGUGAUUUUAUCUUCCUCAGGGGUGAUAUCCUCUCAAGGGGUGAUUUUAUCCUCUCCAGGGGUAGGACAUGUGUCACAGCACCUCAGCGCCCUCCUGAGCCAGGUCAC